rnacentral:rRNA from 1 species
CCCAUAGCCUGCAUUUGUAAACUUGUUAGUUUCUUUGUAGUUGUCUUGGUAGUAGGUCUAAUUCGGUAAUUUCCGUUGUUGUUAGCGGUGAAAUGCAUAGAUAUACGGAGGAACACCAGUGGCGAAGGCGGAUUGCUGGACAGUAACUGACGCUGAGGCGCGAAAGCGUGGGGAGCAAACAGGAUUAGAUACCCUGGUAGUCCACGCCGUAAACGAUGAGUGCUAAGUGUUAGGGGGUUUCCGCCCCUUAGUGCUGCAGCUAACGCAUUAAGCACUCCGCCUGGGGAGUACGCACGCAAGUGUGAAACUCAAAGGAAUUGACGGGGCCCGCACAAGCGGUGGAGUAUG